CAAGAAAUAGUAAGUCUGCUUCUGAGAAAAGAAGCUUCAGGCGAGAGAGACGACCGACAAUGGCGACCGCUUCCGCUUCCGCUUCAGGUCGAAGCAACAGAGACGGUACGGCCAAAGCCAUGGUGGCCGACCACAUUUCUCAGUCAGUGCGAUCCACUUCAAAUCUCCUUCAUCUGAUGCAGCAAUCUUCUUCGGCUCAGUUCAGUUUGUCAUAUAGUUCAUCUUGCCUGCAGGCUCAGUUAGCAAAAUUGCCAAAGAACCUUUUGGCAAAAGCAUCUACUAUAAAAAAUACUGAGAAAAUCUUAGAGCAGAUGCCGCAAGUGGUUUCAUCAUUAGAUGCACAUGUUGAGAAGGGACUAGAAAGCAUUCCUCAUUUGCAGACUGUUGUGCAAUUACUUACAAACAUGGAAGGCACCCAACUAAAAUCUCUCUCCCAAAUCCAACACCCUAAAGAGGAAAUCGAGUCUCUUCAUCAACUGAAAGAUGUGGACUAACAGUUCUGCCCUUCUAGAACGUGUCACCUACAGUGUAAAUAUAGGAUCAUAAGGGUGGGCGAAUUUUCCAUCUUCAAAGAACACCACCUGAUCCUCUAUCAAAAAAAAUGUCCAAUCCCUUUUAUGGGCUGUGAGGAAUGAUGAGAAUUUGCCGAACAAGCUGUCUGAAUUUGGUGGAGAGACCAAACGAUUCAAAAUAUGAUGAUUGGGUUUUGGGAUGAGGAGUUGGAUUGUGUAGAGAUCCCACUGUGUCAUCCUAGUGAAUACAUAGUGCUACUAUAAACAACUUUCGGAUGCUCGACCAUGCGAACGGACUCUCUAAGCGGGACACUUAACGCGUUAGUGACCAUUUUCAGGCAUUGCUUUCCUCUCAUUCUCAAUGUAGAAUCAACGAAACUUGUGAAACCCAACUAUUCAAUCGUGAGCGAUUUUAAGAGUUCCUUGUUUGAUUUGACUGUU